GCGCUACUGUUCAUCAUGCCGUUUCUCUCGGCGUUCGAUCGCUCGCUCCUCUCUGCAUCCAGAUCUGCGGAUCAACUCUUCUUUAUCGGCGUGGAGGUCCUCAGCAUCUGGCGACCAGCUUCCGACCAUCGGGCGUCUCCAGCGAGCCAAUUCUGUGGGUGGAACACUGUAGCUGUGGAUCACGAUUUUCUCAUCAGACCGGCGGUGUUCUUCUGGUUUGAGUUCCCAUUCCUUCACAGAAUCAUCGGCGGCGUUCCUCCGGUGAUCCUGGUCCAUUUCCGAUAGCGAUUCAUCCUUCGUAGCACUCCUUCCAGCCUUGCAAUUCUGGCGCUAGUGAACCGGAGUCCAACAGUGUGCGAUUUCAAAGUUCACAGUUUCGUUGAAGAUUUCUAUGGUUAAUUGAGUGAAUCUGCGUUGAGCUUGGAGCUAGAGGGUGCCAUUUCGACACUAGUUGGAGCAUUCUCUGUGGUUCCUUGUGCGGCGGCAAGGAGGAGAAGAUUUGGUCUAAGAUUUGGAUUGUAGGGAUGUUUAGUUUAAUUGCAGCUUGAUUCUUUAGAAUAGAUCUUAAUGUUUUUGCAAUUGAAUCUGAAUUUUUCACUUCAUAGUAUAGAUUCGCUGUUAAUUCUUUUUUACUGCACAAUUUUGUUCUUCCCUGCUCUGUUCUAUUCUGUAUAGUUUAGUAGAAAUUUCUGCAAAUUCCGGAUUCUAAGUUCUUGUUAGUGAUUUCUGUUUUAGCAAACCAUUAGAUGAUAAGUUAGUCAGUAAUAGAUUUUAGUUAGUUUAAUAGAUUUAUUAAUUUCUAAUGCAAUUAAUUAGGCGUAGUGUUAAGCUUUUGUGGAGUUGUGUUCUGCAAUGUGUAAGCAGCAAUUCUAUUCUUAGGUUUUCAGUAGGUAAGUUUAGUGGGUUAAGUAGAAGUAGUUUUAUAAUAAUUUCUAGUAGCUAAAAAUCCAUUCUCUAGUUGUUUUAGAUUAAUUCAGUCGUUGAUAAGUUUUAUCACUGGAAUUAGGUUGAUUUGUGCUCAUUUUCAAUUCAGUUAGUAGAGUCAUAUUCUUGUUUGUUUAGAAUUCAAGUUUGCAGCAGAAUAGAUUUUGGUUUAUUGAAUUAAUUCAUUUGUUUGUAAUUUAAUUUUAAAUUCAAGAGUUUCUUCAAACGUCAAAUCACAUUUUGAUAACUAGAAAACCCAAAAAUAGUAUUCUAAAUCCAAGACAAUCAUAUUUCUAGUAUGAUCCUCGAAAAAUUCGACUUGGCCCUUAUACUAAAACAUUUCCUUGUGUAGUUGUGGGUUUUCAAUCAUUACAUUAAUUUGAGAGUCUAUUUGUGACACACAUUUGGAUAGCUACCAAAUUUUGGCGUCGUUGCCGGGGAACAUACCUUGUUAGAAUUUUUUUGUUUUGGAUUGUGAAUGAUUUUCUUUUUCUCAGCUUAAGUUUCAUUGAUUUUGUUGACUAUCAACUAAAAUUUUUAUUGUGGAUUUGCUUGCAUGACUAGGUCUUCCUUUGCAACAUUGCUUGAACUUGACCCGGAGAUUGAGAGGACCUUUUGGGCCUUGAGGAGACAAGCUAGAUCAACAAGAAUUCUUGAAAGUAGUUCUUUAAACAUGGAUAAUCAAAUAACAGAAAGCAAUCGAACCAUGAAAGAGAUUGCAGCUCCAGAUGUGGCAUAUGAGUAUUCAUGCAUCACUUAUCCAGAUUUGGCAGGAGAUUUUGAACUCAGAUCAGGACUUAUCCAUCUGCUUCCCAAAUUUCAAGGUUUAUCAGGAGAAGAUCCCAACCGACAUCUACAUGAAUUCCAUGUUGUUUGUUCGACCAUGAAACCACAGGGGAUUUCAGAAGAAGACAUUAAGUUGAGGGCUUUUCCAUUCUCUUUGACGGGAGCAGCUAAAGAUUGGCUAUACUACCUUCUAGUUGGAUACAUUACAAGUUGGAUUGAUAUGAAGAGAGCAUUUUUGGAGAAAUUUUUCCCAACUUCUAGGACUACAACUAGGAAGAGUAUUUAUGGAAUUCAGCAAGUAGUGGGAGAGACUCUUUAUGAUUAUUGGGAGAGAUUCAAGAAGCUGUGUUCGAGUUGUCCACAACAUCAAAUCAGUGAUCAACUUCUUAUUCAAUAUUUUUAUGAGGGACUACUUCUCAUGGAUAGAACUAUGAUAGAUGCAGUAGCUGGAGGAGCUUUGGUGAAUAAGACUCCAAAUCAAGCAAGAGAGCUUAUUUCAAAUAUGGCGGAAAAUUCACAGCAAUUUGGGAGUAGAGCUCUUGGAACUAGAGUGGUUAAUGAAACUCAUUUGGUUUCAACUAAGCAAUAAGAAAUAAGAAACAAUCUGCAAGAGUUGACCUCUCUAGUGAAGCAAAUGGCAUUGCAAAAUUCUUAUCAAGUUUCAAAUUUUCCUUUACCAAUGAUGAAAGUAUGUGGAAUUUGUUCAAGCCAAGAUCACUCUUCGGAUUAUUAUCCUAACCUACAUCAAGAUGAAUAUGUUGCAGUCAUUUCAAGACCUCAAUAUCAACAACACAAAUAUGAUCCCAAUUCUUCAACUUACAAUCCGGGAUGAAGGGAUCACCCUAAUUUAAGGUAUGGGAACACAUUUUAUCAACAACCACCACAAAGUCAGUUUAAUCAGUCAUCAUUCCAUCAUCAACAGAAUCAACAUCAACAUAAUCAGCAUCAUUUUCAGAAUCAUCCAGUAGUUCAUUCUCAAUAGUUUUAGCAAUUUCAGCAACCACAAUUUCAGUAAAAUUUCAACCAAUCUCAGCAAUUACAACCAUUUCAGAAUUUUCAGUAGUCUAAUGUUGCAAUUCAACUACAAUUUCAGAACCCACAGAAUCAACAAACCAAUUUUUAGCAGCUUCAACAACCUGGGCAGAAUUUUCAGCAACCAAAUAAUGCAAACCAGCACCAAUUUCAGCAGCCAUUGGCAUCUUCUUCAAGCUCAAGAUCAAUGCAAUUUCAGAAUAGCUAUAGAAGUUCAAAAAUAGAGGAUUUGAUGCAGCAAAUGUUGCAACAGCAGCAACAAAUGUUGCAACAGCAGCAACACCAGCAGAGGACUAAUACAACAUUGCAAAACAUUGAAAGACAGAUUGGGCAGCUGGCUAGUAACAUUAAUCAGAUGCAGAACCAAGGAUCUAGGUAAUUACCUUCACAACCUACUCCAAAUCCUAAGGGAAAUGUAAGUGCAUUAACUCUUCGAAGUGGUAAAACAAUUUCAGAUCUGACUCAGAAUUUAUUAGCUAGAUCCCAGCAGAUUUCACCCAGUCUAGCUGCAGAUUCAACCUCACAAAAGUUCCAGAAUUUUCCAGCAAUUCAAGAGCAAAUAGAUUCUGCAUAGAAUGGAAUUUCUGGAGCUGAUCGGCUACAUUUUACUCAACCUGCAACUUCAGAACUUACUUAAUCUGAUAGAGCAGAUUUCGGCUUGGAAUUUAAUUCAACAGCAGUUACCCAUUCAGCUUCAACUUAGUACAGAAUUUGGACAAGAAUCUUCACCAGUAAGUAGCCGAGCCCUCUAUUCCUCUACCCUUCCCUCGAAGAAGUAUACAACCAAAAAAAGAUAUAGAGGAAGAAAAGGCUAGAGAAUAUCAAGAUUUGGUGAAGUUAUUCAGCAAGGUUGAAGUGAAUGUGCCUUUGCUAACCAUGAUCAAACAAAUUCCAAAAUAUGCCAAAUUCCUCAAGGAUCUUUGUGUGCACAAGAAGAAAUUGAAGAGAAAUGAAUUGAUUAGUAUGGGGAAAAACGUCUCAGCAUUACUUCAGCCAGUUCCUCAGAAAUGUGAAGAUCCAGGAGUUUUCACAGUACCUUGUGUUAUAGGAGAUUGUAUUUUUGAGGAUGCAAUGUUAGAUCUUGGAGCCUCUAUAAAUGUGAUGCUGAAAUCAGUUUUUCAAUCAUUAAGAAUUGGACCUCUGCAACCUAUAGGUGCAGUGAUUCAAUUAGCUAAUCGAAGUCAAGCACACCCAAUUGGUUUGGUAGAGGAUGUAUUGGUGAAAGUGAAGGAGUUAAUUUUUCCUGCAGAUUUUUAUAUCUUAGAUAUGGAGGGUGAUGUGCUUGCAAGCAGGUCUCCACUUAUUCUUGGACAUCCAUUCUUGAAGAUUGUGAGAACAAACAUUAAUGUACAUGCAGGAACUCUGUCCAUGAACUACAGUGAUUUGUUUCAGCAUUUUUGAGGCUAUGAAGCAUCCUAAAGAGGAUCAUUCUAUACUUAGCUUGGAUAUCUCAGAGGAGCUGAAUGGCAUGGAUUUCUCUUUGGAAACUGAUUCAGAUAUUAUUGAAGUUGAUCAAGGGAAUGAAUUUCUGCAUUGUUGGAGGAUAUCUUGGAUGUGGGAGCAGAUGUUAGCUCAAGUGAAUGCGUAGGGGAUUGCUUAGGAGAAGCAUUACCCCUAGAAUUGCUCAGGGAAGAAGAAUUAUGCGUAGGGGAUUGCUUAGGAGAAGCUCUACCCCUAGGAUCACCUUCUGUUGACCAGAAAUAGGAAGAGUUGAAGUCAUUGCCUCAACAUUUGAAAUAUGCUUAUUUAGGAGAGAAUCAGUAGCUACCUGUCAUUAUAGCUCAUAAUUUGAAAUCAGAUCAAGAGGAAAGAUUGUUAAAGAUUCUGAGACAACAUAGAAAGGUCAUUGGAUGGACUCUGGCAGACAUUCCUGGGAUUAGUCCUUCUAUUUGCAUGAAUAGGAUUUAUUUGGAGGAGGAUGUGAAACCAGUGAGACAGCCACAGAGGCGACUUAACCCUUUGAUCUUGGGCGUCGUAAAGAAAGAGGUGACUAGACUCUUACAGGCAAAUAUUAUUUAUCCAAUUUCUGACAGUAAAUGGAUAAGUCCCAUCCAUGUGGUUCCAAAGAAAUCAGGGGUGACAUUGGUAACUAAUGAAGAGAAUGAAUUGGUGCCCACGAGAGUGAACAAUUCUUGGAGAGUUUGUGUGAACUACAGGAAGCUGAACCAAGUGAGUUGAAAGGACCAUUACCCCUUGCCCUUUAUUGAUCAGAUGUUAGAAUGGCUAGCAGGCAAGUCACAUUAUUGCUUCCUCGAUGGUUAUACUGGUUAUUUUCAUAUUUACAUUGACCCAGAGGACCAGGAGAAGACUACCUUCACUUGCCCUUUUGGUACAUUCGCAUAUCGUCGGAUGUCAUUCGGACUAUGCAAUGCUCCAGGAACUUUUCAGCGAUGCAUGGAUGGACAAAAGAUUAAGUGUGGGGGAGGUGUUUAGUCUUUGAUUGAGUUUUUUUUUUGUUUUGGUGGAGGAAGUGAAUUCUGCAGGGAUAGAGGAAGCUCAGUGGAAGUUGUUGGUUGUGUGUGUGUCUUAUUCCAAUAAUUGAUACAUUUGAAUUAUGAUUAGAAGUAUUGUGAACAACUUGGAAUUUUGGAAACUGAUACUAUGAUGGUCUUUUAUAGAGCUUUGGAAAUCUACAGAAUUGAAGUGCAAAGCUGGAAUAUGAAGGUAUUAUUUCAUCAAUGAAGCACUUGAACAUAGUAUCAAGUGUUGUUUCCAUUUCUUUACAAAUCUGCUGGACAGGAUUUUGAUAGUACCAAGUUGUUGGAAUUCUGAAAUUAUAGUAAGCUUUUUAAUUGACCUACUAAAGCUGAAACAAGAUGGAAAUCAAGCUAUCAUUUGAUUUAAUGAUUGAAAAGUUCUAUGGAAAUGAAUUGUUGAAGCUUGAAGUGAGGAAGUAGUAAUUUCAUAAUUCUGUGAGAUAAAUGCAUAACUGGGCAAUUCUGAAAAAAAUUGAAGUUGUGCAAAUUCAGAGAAUUUGGAAUGAAUGGAGUAUCAAAAAUUCAGAAAUGAUUUCAGGAAAAGGAGAAGCUUACAUGAAGUUUUGUAACGUGAAGCAACAAAAGGAAUUCUGGUAUCAUUAACUUCUACAAGUUGUAUUCUAUUGAAAUGAUGGAAGAGCAAUGAUAUUUGAUAGCAGUGAAGGAUGAUAUCGGAUGAUGAGAAGACUAAAAGAAGGCAGAGAUGGAUUUCAAGUUGUGAGUAAUACUUCAUUCAAAAUUGUAAUCUAAACUUUGAAUGGAACAAAUGAAAACAAAAAGGAAUAUUUGCUGAGAUGACAAAAAUAGACAAAGAGUCAGAAUUCAGAAAAUGCAGAAUUACACAGCACAAGUAAUGUCGCAUUUCUGUGCCAAUUUGGGAAGAGAAUUGUGAUGAGUUAGAGCUGCUGGAAACUGGAAAGCUCUCGGAUAUGCAUUGUAAAGGGUCUUAAGAGACAAGAUGAAGAAGUAUUGAAGUUUUCUGGGAAUAAACAGUGAUAAAUUGAUACAAAGUCCAGAAUAUGAAGAAACUGAAAUCAGCAAUUUGCUGUGCAAAUUGGAGUUCAAGAGUUUACAAGACUUUUAGACAAGAAAUUUGAUACCAAACAGGAAAAUAAAGUUGGAAACUGAAGAUUGAACUAAAUCUGCAGCUUUGGUAUUGGACUGUAAUUGAAGCAGUAGGAAGUUAAAGUACAAGCUGAAUUUUUGUGUCAUUGCAGGAAAAGAGCUUAAGACUUACUAUCGGUCAAAUGCAGAAGAGGAAGUUAAAAAAAAUGAAAGAAAGAAAUAUGCAGCUACAAGUGGAAGUGAAUUCUGAUUCUAAUAAAGUCCAGUUUUGUGCCAUAGGGUACUAAAGGGGUCAUUAUUCAAAUGAAGAAUUGGUCUAUUUAACCAAGUGAAGUUGUGCAAAACCACUUGUGGGCUUAACCAAACCUAGAACCCAACUGAACCUGAACCCAAGUCACACCUCAAUUUGAGCCAAAACCCUAAGUAUUUAAUCAAAAAUCUGGCACGAUGAACAGUGAACUUGCGCUACUGUUCAUCAUACCGUUUCUCUCGGCGUUCAAUCGCUCGCUCCUCUCUGCAUCCAAAUCUGCGGAUCAACUCUUCUUCAUUGGCGUGGAGGUCCUCAGCAUCCGACGACCAACUUCCGACCAUUGGACGUCUCCAGUGAGCCAAUUCUGUGGGCGGAACACUGUAGCUACGGAUCACGAUUUUCUCAUCAGACCGGCGGCGUUCUUCUGGUUUGAGUUCCCACUUCUUCACAGAAUCAUCGGCGGCGUUCCUCCAGUGAUCCUGGUCCAUUUCUGACAGCGAUUCAUCCUUCGUAGCACUCCUUCCAGCCUUGCGAUUCCGACGCCAGUGAACCAGAGUCCAACAAUGCGCGAUUUCAGAGUUCAUGGUUUCGUUGAAGAUUUCUAUGGUUAAUUGAGUGAAUCUACAUUGAGCUUGGAGCUAGAGGGCGCCAUUCCGACAAUAGUUGGAGUGUUCUCUGCGGUUCCUUGUGCGAUGGCAAGGAGGAGAAGAUUUGGUCUGAGAUUUAGAUUGUAUGGAUGUUUAGUUUAAUUGCAACUUGAUUCUUUAGAAUAGAUCUUUCUGUUUUUGCAAUUGAAUCUGAAUUUGUCACUUCAUAGUA